UGCGCAGGCGGGGAUGUAAGUCAGUGGUGAAAUACUGCCGCUCAACGGUAGAACUGCCAUUGAUACUGCAUCUCUUGAGUAUGGUUGAGGUAGGCGGAAUGUGUUGUGUAGCGGUGAAAUGCAUAGAUAUGACACAGAACGCCAAUUGCGAAGGCAGCUUACUAAGCCAUUACUGACGCUGAGGCACGAAAGCGUGGGGAGCGAACAGGAUUAGAUACCCUGGUAGUCC
rnacentral:rRNA from 1 species